rnacentral:rRNA from 1 species
AGUGAACGCCGGCGGUAGGCCUAACACAUGCAAGUCGAGCGGCAGCACAGUAAGAGCUUGCUCUUACGGGUGGCGAGUGGCGGACGGGUGAGGAAUACAUCGGAAUCUACUUUUUCGUGGGGGAUAACGUAGGGAAACUUACGCUAAUACCGCAUACGACCUACGGGUGAAAGCAGGGGAUCUUCGGACCUUGCGCGAUUGAAUGAGCCGAUGUCGGAUUAGCUAGUUGGCGGGGUAAAGGCCCACCAAGGCGACGAUCCGUAGCUGGUCUGAGAGGAUGAUCAGCCACACUGGAACUGAGACACGGUCCAGACUCCUACGGGAGGCAGCAGUGGGGAAUAUUGGACAAUGGGCGAAAGCCUGAUCCAGCCAUACCGCGUGGGUGAAGAAGGCCUUCGGGUUGUAAAGCCCUUUUGUUGGGAAAGAAAAGCAGCAGGUUAAUACCCCGCUGUUCUGACGGUACCCAAAGAAUAAGCACCGGCUAACUUCGUG